AACGCACAUUGCGCCCUCUGGUAUUCCGGGGGGCAUGCCUGUUCGAGCGUCAUUACAACCCUCAAGCUCUGCUUGGUAUUAGGCUUCACCCUUAGGGGCGGGCUUUAAAAUCAGUGGCGGUGCUAUUCGGCUUCAAGCGUAGUAAUUUUUCUCGCUUUGGAGGACCGGGUGUGUGUUUGCCAACAACCCCAAUUUUUAUAAAGGUUGACCUCGGAUCAGGUAGGGAUACCCGCUGAACUUAA
rnacentral:misc_RNA from 1 species